CAGACAGGAAGCUGAAGUAUUGAGCGCCUGACCAGAGCUUCCUCCUGUGCAAGAGUGGGGGUUUCUCCAACUUGAAUCUUUAGCUCUACAAGCACAGUCCGAGUCUUGAAGUCCAAGGGAUAAAGAGCACCCAAAUCUUUCAGCUGGGUCCUCCGAGCGUGGAGAAUGGAGUACUGCACUUAAGCCCUGCUUGCAAGAGAACAAAGCGGAGUGAUGUAAAAUAGAAAAUGAGACAAGCAAACCUUUGGUGAUUGAAGAGGAGGAAGGAAAAUGAAAGAGAAAAAGCUGAAGAGUGGGAAAAAGAUAAAAUAAAAUGAAUUUUGGGGAUUCCACUGUGAGUAAGAGCUGAAAAAAAAGUAAGCUGAUUUAUUACAUGUUUAUCUUCUGCCUGCGAGUCAGUGUGCCUUGUAUAUGCGAGGGGUGAACUGCACAUUAAAGAUUGAAUCAAAAAGCCAAAUUCUUCCUCAAUUCCUCCAGCUUUAAACGAGCAUAAUUCUGACAGCUCCGAUGGAUUUACAUUUUGUAAACAGCAGCGGAAUCAAGAUCAAGUCCUUUAAGUCAUUUUGAGUCAUAUUUAUGCUGAAGUUAUGAGAAAUUUAGAAUGACUUUUAAAUAACGUUUGUCAGGGAAGCUGCACAUUUUCUAACGCUUCUCUUCACUGGGCAGGAAUUUUGCUAUGGUCAUUGCAGUGUUGUUAUGACUUUAUUCUGAAUCCAAUGGCAGUACAGAAAGAAGGGGUGAUGUUAUCGUUAUGUGCAUCCAUAUUUUCCUUGCAUUAUGACUUAUGUAUAUUCAUUUUUAUUUUAAAUGUGUAUUUUAACAACCGUUUAAACAGGGAGAUGGCAUGAGCUAGUUGAUGUAAGUAUUUUUUUUUCUCUCCAUCAAAUGCCACUGAUUUUGAAAAUGCAGUGUUUGACUGCAGCCGGAGGGUUUAGCUGGCUACACCUUGCUUUCUUUCACAUUAAUCCUUUACUCUUUUGCAGGUUUAUUUCUUCCUUUGCGUGCUCUGAGCUUAUCUGGGCAUCCAAAAGUUUGUUUUAUAGUAUGGAAGAAGAGGGACAGAGGAAGCACCGCAGGUUUUCUUGAUGAAAUUUCCAAGCUUUUGCAGGUGUGGAGACGGGCUUCUGGAGCCUGCAGAAUAAGGCAGCUCCCAUCCCUCUCUUUCUCCACCUAAUCAGACAGUUUCUCUUACUCUUCCUUUUUCUGAACAGUUUGUUCGCUAAAAAAUGCUGUUUCGAAUGAACUGAAAUUAUUGACAGAGCUGAAUGGAGUGGUGCAAAUAGUACUGGGUAAACCAUCAAAAAAAUAUUUUGACAUUUGUAGAAUUAAAUCCUAAUUCUUUCUUUGAAAGUGCUUUUUUUUCAUUUUCAUGUUCUUCUUAUCGUUUUUAUGCAGCAAUAAUGACAGCAAAGAAGAAACGAAGUAUUUUGUUUUAGGCCAAGAAAUACGUUCUAGUGCAGCUCAAAUUAUUUGCUUAUUUAUUUAUUGUUCAGAAAAGAACAAAAGUCACUCCAGGUUCCACCAAAUGGCAUUUUCCUUUUCCUUUCUUUCUUCUUUUUUUUUUUUUGAUUAGUAGAGGAAAACAUGGCUAAUUGCCACAGCCAAAAGUCCAUACCAUUGUCAGGACCAGCUGUAUUUCAGCUAUGUUAAUCUGGCAGAAUACUGAGCAUUCAUUUUCUGUGGGAAAUGAUGAUUAAAAAAGGGAAUUAUUUUUGAUAAGAAAAACGUACCCUUUUCUGUGCUUUUAUUGGUCAGAUUAAAUAUAUAAUCCACCUUUUCCCAUAAUCAGGGAAAGAAAAAAAAAAAAAAAAGGAGGAGAAAAGUCAGCUUUCAUUAUUGAAAUAGAUUUUCUGGAAGAUUUUUGACCCAAUUCCCUAACAUGAAAGGCUGCAGCUACUCUCUCCUGCAGUGUUUCAGAUGCCUGUGCUCCAUCGCAGCUUCCAUUGGGGCUGAGCGCUUCCCUUGGGCAGCAGAGCCUGGAGCUCCUGGAGCCAUGGGAUGAGGCUGCGGUGGGGACUCUUUGGCAGGACAGAGGUUUCAAGUGUGUCAGUGACUGCCUGUGGUCUUUGUGGGGGGAUUCAGUAAGGAAAAGUAUGGAAAACAGAGAGCUGCAGAAAACUAUUUCAAAGCUUGGAUUCUGUAGUGCAUGCUGGAUAGCCAAGUCCUCACCGGCAACUUGAGCAAUGUCAUGUCAAAAGUCUGUGUAGAAAUCAAAGAAUGUCUUUACUUUUCACUGUAAUCAUUUGUAGCAGUUAAUACAUUUGAUUAAAUGUUCGAGAGUUGGUCAUGUUGAAUCUGAAUGGCACCUAGAACUAUUUUCUUUAAAAUCAGCCCCGGUGAGCUCAAGGGGAGCCAGAUUUAACAUCGUGGUGAGCGUAUCCUGGUGGAAGGCAGGCUGGCUCCCCGCAGGCUGUCUGCAUCAGCGCUUCUCAGCCUUCUCUAAUGGGGCCUUCUUGGAAAAGCCGUGGCUGGACCAUUUCCCACGCACAACAAGGAGCCGUCUGCACCUGCAGGCGCUCACUGGCAGCAUCCAGAGAGCGGCUCCCGGCUCCGUCUGCCAGCACUGGUGCUUCUCUGCCAAAUGGAGCAGACAUGUGGUUUGUAUCUUCUAAAUGAGCUCGUGCAUAGAGCAGGUUCUGGCGUCCGACAGCAAACAGUGGGCUGCAGCCCACGGGCUGUGUAACACCCAUCCAGCUCCCGGCGCUGUCACGCCUGCACCUGGUCAUGAGCCAGAGCUCUCGGGCUGUUGCAUUCGCUGCUGUGUGCCGGUCUCUGCAUAACUACGGCCAGUUUGCACUGCACUUGAGCUGUUUCAUUAUUCUAAUUUUAAUUGUAGUUGAUUUCAGUGAAUUAAUGUUGAAAUGGGCUAUCUAUGAACUGAAAGUGUGCUUGCUCUUCACAGCUUAUUUUCAGUAGCUGCAGUAUUGUUAGAGUAUAAAUACAGCCAUCUCUUCUGGAAUCGUAGGAUCACUGGAGUUUGAAGGGAUGUUUAAAGGUCUUUGAUUCCAAUUCCCCUUUCCAGAUUUCAACUCCAGCUUUUAUAUUUCAAGUAUUUAGAUACUGAACCUGUCUGAAGAAAAAAUAUCUCCGGCUUCUAAUGGAUUUCUAACAUUACAAUUGUUUAUUAUAAUAAAUAAUUGAAUAAUAAUAGCCUAAUAUAAAAAAGAAUGAAAUCCUUGCUGAGUGAUCAUGGCAUUCCUUUUUUAAAUAAUGCAAUAAUUACAAAAACAUUUUAGUUAAUUAAAACUUUAAGUUAAUGUUUGCCUGUUUUUCAACUAUUUAUGCAGAGCCUAAUCAUUUUGGGUUAGUGAUACAGAGCACAGCAGCUGCACAGGGACAAAGACUUGUAAGUACCUGUGCCAUUGCCACAGAUGGAACAAUGCCAGUUCUUUUGAGUUCUUAAAAAUGUGGAAAUUGAAAGGGAGCAAGGAAUGGCCAUCUACUCUCUCCUGUUUGCUUUACCCACCUCUCCCUAUGUUGCUGGUUGUUUAGAUUGUAUCUGACAUGUAUGGCCGGACCAGACUUUUCUGGUGCUUGGUUCCACUAUGUGCAUCAGGAACUGGUUUGGGUGAGCAGUCCAUAGUGCCACGUGUUGGGACGCAGCACGUGCCUUGCACCCAGCAUCUGCAGCACAUGCCUGGUUGGAUAUCUGAGCCAAGGGAGGAAGCGCUGCUGGAUCUGGGACCGGCUCCAUACACGAGACUUGGAGAGUCACUGCCACAGCAGGGCUGGGCUGCAGACAGAUAUCUUACUUUACAUCAGCAAAGAUCUCCUUGCACCUGGAGGAAAGCCAAGCACCGGGGAGAGAGAGCAGAGGAUGAGAUACUGCUGCACAUCAGAACGGCCUUGAAACGAAUGUCGUGUAUCCUCAGCUUUGAGAACUGAAUUCCAUGGGUUGUAAUUGAAUCCUUUGUCAGACCCAUGGGGCUCAGUUCUUCAGCUUGGAUAUUUCUGUCUUCACAUACACGGGAGAUCAAAGAAGCACUUGAUCAUGCGCUGACUCUUCCGGAUUCUGAUAGCAGCAAAUAGGAAAGAGAAAGAAUAACUGAUGUGAAUCACUCUGACAGGGAGGUUUCACUGCAAAGACCAGGCUCUCUCAUGUCGAGUAGCUGCGCAGUGAUUGAACCUCUCCGUGGCUGAUAGUCUGUCCCUGCAUUGCUGCUCGCUGGUUAAUUCAACUCUCCUCUCAGUUUUAUCGAAGUUACAUAUCAAGUGCUGAGAUGAUGCUGACUGACUUAUGCUUCCCAAAAAUUGUGUGGUGCUGCUGAAUGUGGCUCUGCUCCCACAUGGGACCAGCAACACCCCAGCCCUGCCAAGUCUACCCACUGUUGGUCUGCUGCAGCCUCCUGUCUGGGAUCACUGCUGCACAGCUACUGUUUGCUCUUUUUUGGCCCCCUUGAGGUGGACCCAUUCAAGUUGUGGGCUGAAAAAGUUUGUGUUUCUUCCUUGGAAGAUCUGUGUUAAAGUUUAUUUUCUUUCAGGCGUCAGGAAAAUAAAAUUUAUGGUCUUCAAACACGUAAAGAGGUAUAAUUACCAACGAGAUUUCUACUUCAUUCCUGCAAUAAUAACCCUUCCUAAAUUACAUUUUUCAAACUCAGUAAAAUGGAUCAGUCACUGAUCUCAUCCCUGUGGUGCAAUGCUGUUAAAAGCACAGGAAUAUUAAAAUCCCACAGGUGCAGGAGGAGCGUGUUCAGCUAAGUAGUUUAAAGCUGCUGUGUGCCUUUUAUUCUGAAAAUGUAUUUACACUAAAAAUAAUCAGAUGUAAUCACUGUUGCCUGUGGAUACAGAUGUACCUUUGUACCGAUGUGCUUUUCAUAUAAAUUUUAUUCCAGGGUUUGAAGGGUUUCUUUGUGGCUGUCUGAAGCAUAUCAUGCUGCCCAGUUGUGAGACGACGGAUCUUGGAAGGACUAACCAGUCCCACCAGCUCCUGCUGGGAGAUAUCCAUUAAACAAGAAGAAGGAGAAACAUACACAAACGAAAGCGAAAUUCUGAAGUUUCAUUUCUGCUGUACUCCCUGUCAAGGAGAGGGAAUUAAAUUGGAGAGUCAUUCAGGUGAAUUCAGCUGUAUUCGUUGCUGCUGUAGACUUGAAACUCAAUUUUGGGCCAAGUAAAGCAUUUGCUAGAAAAUAUUACCCCUCUCUCUAUCUUUUUCUAGCUGAUUUAUGCCACAUUCUGGUGCUUAUUCACAGAUCUCAGCCUGUGCAUUUUGUUCAGGUAAAGCAAUGGGCUGAGUCUUCCAGGCACAGCUGUGGCAGAGCAGCACAACCACCCACAUUUUACAGAUAAAUAAGCUGAGUCCUGACCCUUAGAAUGGGACAACAACCCUGAGUUCCACUGAGUGCCAGCUGUAUUUCAGUUCUGGCUUUCUGCUUUUCAUUCCCAACAAAUAAAUGACAACAAGCACCUCCUUUGGCUGCUGGCAGGAGCGUGCCCCAGAGUCCCACUGAGCCUCUCCUCCCUUGGCUGAGGGUCUAUCCCCAUUUGCUGAUCAACCACUGCUCCCCUUUGCUGCCUCCCACACCAUGAACAGCCUCUGCCUUCCUUCUUGAUACUGUGCGUGCCUUGCCUUGUGGAUGCUGGUGGGAGAGGGGUGAGUGCUGGCUGCAGACCGGUGUUUCUGCUCAGCAAAUGAUCUCAGGCCCUUUCAAAAGAGUGACUGCACAUCGCACACUGCUCUGCAGAAAGCUCUGUGCUUGCUACCCUUUGG
ensembl:lncRNA